UUCAGGUAGCAGCCUUAAGAGCUGCUAUUACUUCUUGAUCCAUUGGUUGGAUCAAAGAGCUGGUGUUUAGAGGCGAAAACACCACUUUGACAUUGUGAUAAUCACCAGUGAAAGGAAGAUGUGCAGGAACAUUAUGAACAAUAAGCAAAAUCUUGAAAGGUAUAUUAUCUCCAAACAGUACUCUUUUAUUUAACUGGCAUAGGAAUUCAGGAGGCCAUCUUGGAAGAGGAGCUGGGUCAUCCGUUACUUCUUUUUGCUUUGUAGUACAAAGGCCAUGUAUGCUUAUUGACAUGCUGGAAGGCCCUCAUGUUCUCACUGUGCCAGAUUACGAAAGGUUUCAAUUCGUGGCCUGCAACAUUGCCCCCAGCAAGACUGUUAUCUUGUCAUAGAAAGCUUAAACCCUGGCACUGACUUAGUUUUCUCAUGGAUGAAAGUCCUCUCAGGCAUUCAUAAGCAGGUUUCAUUCAUAUUGAAGAUUUUCUCUGGUGGAGACCAAUUCAAAGCCACACAUUUUAUGCUGUGAUAAUACUUUUCCAGUGUCAAAAAGAAAGGAAGAAAAUUAACAUUGACUUCAAUUUUACUUAUAUUCUUAUUUAACAACCUCUUGAGGCAGAUACUAUCUUCACUUUAUGAGGAAGUAUGAACCUGCUAAGGUCACACAAAUCAUAAAUGGUAGAGCGUGGUUAGAAUUGAGGUCAUCUGACUCUAAGGGAGUGAUCAUUUCUCCAAGUCACAGCACACAGUUCCCAGAUAUGGACAAACAUUCAUCCAAAGGAACAUCAGAAAAUUUUAUUUGGUCAGAAAUAAAUUGCUAAAGCUUAC